UCUAGGAUGCCACAUAGGAAAAUGGCGUAGCGACACGUGUCCAGAUAGCAGCGUUUCAUUAAAAAAAUUUGUGCACUUCGGUUAGGCUUUUAUUUUUGCUGGGCUUCGUGGUUGAGACUUCUGCGCAAUUUGGAUGGGCUUUCCGUGUUCUUCUUCGCCUCUCCAGCACCCAUGUCGAUUAGGUUUUUCCAAUAGCUCUCUCAUCUUCUUCCUCAACCUAAGAAACUAUACUAUCAACAAAUAAUCAUCUUAAAAAAACUCCAUUAAUCUCUCACACACAAUCUAUAAUCAAUGCGAUUUCUGGAUCUACAAGACGGUGAAAAUUCAUCUAUAAAAAAAGUAUGAUUUCCUUCUUAGAGAAUCAUCCUUUCUUUCUUCUAAGCUAACAAAUAAACUAAUUAUGUGAGAUAUGGCUAACGUUUUGGUAUUCCUCUCCACCUCCACUGUUCGAGUCCAGUUGCUCCUCUUGGUUCUCACUUCUCAGGUAUCUUAAUUAGCUCCACCAUUUGUUCAUAAACAGUAUUUCACAACCCAACAAAUUGUGAAAGUUCAAUUGUUCAAUUCAACUUUAGAUAUUCUUUUUUUUUGCUAAAGUUUUCAGUUCAAUUGUGGUUUAAGAGUUAUGUUUAAAUGUUGAUAAAAAAAGAGAUAUGUUUAAAUGUUCUCUUGGAGUAUAUAUAUGAUCGUAUACCAGUUGUUUAUGUUCUGAAACAGAAAAUCAAAUCUGUGUUGAUUUUGGUGUACGGAACUGGUGGACCAGAGGAGGAAGAUAAUUGAUGGCCGCCUGAAACCUCUUCUUAAAGAGCAGUUCUUUGUUUACUGCAAGUUUCAUGUAGACUCUCACAAGGGUGAUUGCAAUAUGUAUUACUUAGAUUGCACCAACGGCGAGCUUUGCUCUCUUUGUCUUGCCCAUCACAAAGAUCACCUCACCAUCCAAUCCAAGUGUGUUCUUGCUAUAAUCUUAAUUAGUUUUUUUGGUUGGUUGUGCUAUGUGGUUAGGUUUUGCCUUUGUAUUGAUUGGUUUUGGCAGAUAGGUCGAUCUUUAGGUCUAUAUAGGUCUAUAUCAAUAGCCUGCCACAGUUCUUGGAUCCAUAACUUGACAAUAUUUUAUCCCUCAUCCAAUCAGCGAAUCUCCACUUAUAAAAAAGGUUAUUGGAGGAGACAGUGGUGGUGGUAGCCAACAUCAUUACGGCACUGAAACUCAUAGGAAGAAGAAACGUUACCAUCAUCACACCGCUCAACAAAUUCAACGACUUGAAUCGAGUUUCAAGGAGUGUCUUCAUCCAGAUGAUAAGCAGAGGAACCAACUUAGCAGAGAAUUGGGUUUGGCUCCAAGACAAAUCAAGUUCCGGUUCCAGAACAUAAGAACUCAGCUUAAUGCGCAACAUGAGAGAGCAGAUAACAAUGCACUAGAGGCAGAGAAAGACAAGAUUCGAUGCGAGAACAUAGCCAUUAGAGAAGCACUCAAGCAUGCUAUAUGCCCUAACUGUGGAGGUCCUCCCGUUAAUGCUUGUCUUUUCCAGUUAAAUUAAUGAGUUUUCCUUAAUCAAAUUUAAACUUAAUAUCAUUAAAUACAUCAUAUAUUUAAUGUAAUUUAUUACGGACGAGUACGGCCCAAUAAUGAACUUGAAUUUUAUUUUUUACGAAAACGUGAAUCACUUGACA